rnacentral:rRNA from 1 species
AUUGAACGCUGGCGGCAUGCCUUACACAUGCAAGUCGAACGGUAACAGGUCUUCGGAUGCUGACGAGUGGCGAACGGGUGAGUAAUACAUCGGAACGUGCCUAGUAGUGGGGGAUAACUACUCGAAAGAGUGGCUAAUACCGCAUGAGAUCUACGGAUGAAAGCAGGGGAUCGCAAGACCUUGUGCUACUAGAGCGGCCGAUGGCAGAUUAGGUAGUUGGUGGGAUAAAAGCUUACCAAGCCGACGAUCUGUAGCUGGUCUGAGAGGACGAUCAGCCACACUGGGACUGAGAAACGGACCAGACUCCUACGGGAGGCAGCAGUGGGGAAUUUUGGACAAUGGGCGCAAGCCUGAUCCAGCAAUGCCGCGUGCAGGAUGAAGGCCUUCGGGUUGUAAACUGCUUUUGCACGGAACGAAAAGCCCCGGGUUAAUACCCUGGGGUCAUGACGGUACCGUAAGAAUAAGCACCGGCUAACUACGUGCCAGCAGCCGCAGUAA